rnacentral:rRNA from 1 species
GAUGAACGCUGGCGGCGUGCCUAAUACAUGCCAGUCGAGCGAACGGACGAGAAGCUUGCUUCUCUGAUGUUAGCGGCGGACGGGUGAGUAACACGUGGAUAACCUACCUAUAAGACUGGGAUAACUUCGGGAAACCGGAGCUAAUACCGGAUAAUAUUUUGAACCGCAGGGUUCAAAAGUGAAAGACGGUCUUGCUGUCACUUAUAGAUGGAUCCGCGCUGCAUUAGCUAGUUGGUAAGGUAACGGCUUACCGAGGCAACGAUGCAUAGCCGACCUGAGAGGGUGAUCGGCCACACUGGAACUGAGACACGGUCCAGACUCCUACGGGAGGCAGCAGUAGGGAAUCUUCCGCAAUGGGCGAAAGCCUGACGGAGCAACGCCGCGUGAGUGAUGAAGGUCUUCGGAUCGUAAAACUCUGUUAUUAGGGAAGAACAUAUGUGUAAGUAACUGUGCACAUCUUGACGGUACCUAAUCAGAAAGCCACGGCUAACUACGUG